rnacentral:rRNA from 1 species
AAACUGGGAUUAGAUACCCCACUAUGCUCAGCCGUAAAACAUUAACUUACACUACAAACCGCCUGAGAACUACGAGCCCACGCUUAAAACUCAAAGGACUUGACGGUGUCCCACCCAACUAGAGGAGCCUGUUCUAUAAUCGACAAUCCCCGUUAAACCUCACCACUUCUAGCCUAUCAGUCUGUAUACCUCCGUCGAAAGCUUACCAUGUGAACGAUCAUUAGUAAGCAAUAAGGUCUAUCCACCAAAACGUCAGGUCAAGGUGCAGCUUACGAAGUGGGAAGAGAUGGGCUACAAUUUCUAAAUUUAGAACAUACGAAAAGAUCUGCAUGAAACACAGUCAUGAAGGCGGAUUUAGCAGUAAAAAGAAAAUAGAGUGUUCUUUUUAACCUGGCACUGGGACGUGU